UAUAGCUCAGUGGUAGAGCGCAUGCUUAGCAUGCACGAGGUUCUGGGUUCAAUCCCCAUUA
rnacentral:tRNA from 1 species